GACAGAGGGGGCAAGCGUUGCUCGGAAUUACUGGGCGUAAAGGGCUCGUAGGCGGUCUGUUGCGUCGGGAGUGAAAACUUACAGCUUAACUGUGAGCGUGCUUUCGAUACGGGCAGACUUGAGGCAUUCAGGGGAGAACGGAAUUCCUGGUGUAGCGGUGAAAUGCGCAGAUAUCAGGAGGAACACCGGUGGCGAAGGCGGCAUCCUGGACCGGCAUUGACGCUGAGGAGCGAAAGCCAGGGGAGCAAACGGG
rnacentral:rRNA from 1 species